rnacentral:rRNA from 1 species
AGAAUCAACGCUGGCGGCGUGCCUAACACAUGCAAGUCGCACGAGAAAGGGGAGCAAUCCCUGAGUAAAGUGGCGCACGGGUGAGUAACACGUGAAUAAUCUACCUCCGAGUGGGGAAUAACUGAGAGAAAUCUUAGCUAAUACCGCAUAACACUUACGAGUCAAAGCAGCAAUGCGCUUGGAGAGGAGUUCGCGGCCGAUUAGCUAGUUGGCGGGUAACGGCCCACAAGGCGAAGAUCGGUAG